AAGUCGAGCGAACAGACGAGGAGCUUGCUCCUCUGACGUUAGCGGCGGACGGGUGAGUAACACGUGGAUAACCUACCUAUAAGACUGGGAUAACUUCGGGAAACCGGAGCUAAUACCGGAUAAUAUAUUGAACCGCAUGGUUCAAUAGUGAAAGACGGUUUUGCUGUCACUUAUAGAUGGAUCCGCGCCGCAUUAGCUAGUUGGUAAGGUAACGGCUUACCAAGGCAACGAUGCGUAGCCGACCUGAGAGGGUGAUCGGCCACACUGGAACUGAGACACGGUCCAGACUCCUACGGGAGGCAGCAGUAGGGAAUCUUCCGCAAUGGGCGAAAGCCUGACGGAGCAACGCCGCGUGAGUGAUGAAGGUCUUCGGAUCGUAAAACUCUGUUAUUAGGGAAGAACAAAUGUGUAAGUAACUAUGCACGUCUUGACGGUACCUAAUCAGAAAGCCACGGCUAACUACGUGCCAGCAGCCGCGGUAAUACGUAGGUGGCAAGCGUUAUCCGGAAUUAUUGGGCGUAAAGCGCGCGUAGGCGGUUUUUUAAGUCUGAUGUGAAAGCCCACGGCUCAACCGUGGAGGGUCAUUGGAAACUGGAAAACUUGAGUGCAGAAGAGGAAAGUGGAAUUCCAUGUGUAGCGGUGAAAUGCGCAGAGAUAUGGAGGAACACCAGUGGCGAAGGCGACUUUCUGGUCUGUAACUGACGCUGAUGUGCGAAAGCGUGGGGAUCAA
rnacentral:rRNA from 1 species